GCACCUUAUAAUGUGAUCGAAUAAAAUGGAGGAGAUGGUUCUCUUCAAGAUGAACUCUGCCUUCACAUUAGUCUGCUUCUACUUCUUACAUGCACCAUCAGUUUCCUGUUGACAAGAGGACUUGUGUUACUUUCGUUGACAAUAUCCCACAAGUCCUCACCCAUAAGGUAUGAUUCCAUAAAUGUCUCCCAUACCUUGUAAUUGGACUGAUUCAACAACUCUACUCCCAUUCUAUUAAUACGGUCGCUUAAAUCCAUCGCACAAACCAGUUGAAUCAAUCACAAACCUGAUCUUGAAAUAAACACAAGUCAAUCUAUGAUUUAGGCUCUGAUACCAUGUAGAGAAUAGCAGAACAAAUGUGUAAUUGGAGAAACCUUU
rnacentral:lncRNA from 1 species